UCGGAGGCCCUGGCUGCCGGGCAUACAUUUCAGCUUGAGUUCAGGAAGAAGUAACUACGCAUAUCAUAUUACACAGCGGUGAAAUUAAAGUAAACAGGAUCGGAAUUGACUGAAGCAGCAGGAGCAGGGUAUAGCAGGCAGGCACUCCAGGCAGCCGGCGGCGGCGGUGGCUACGGCCGGGGCCGGUAACUAGCUAGCUAGGCAUCAGGGGCCCCGCCCCCGCCUGGCCGCGCGGACGAUGGCGGCGGCCUGCGCCAGGGUGAACGUCUCGACGAGGAUGUGGUCGUAUCGAGGGUCCACGUGCAUCGUCAGGAAGACGUCGGAGCGGUAGCCGUGGUGCGCCUUCACGGACUGCUCCGACGCGAAGGCCAGCCUGCACCGCUCGCACGCGAACGUCAGGCGGCCCGGGCCUCUGACGGGCUCCAGGUCGGCCUCGUGCGCCGACUUGAUGAGGCGCCGCCCGGGGAACGCGGGAUCGUCGUCGUCCCCGUCGCUGCCGCCCGCGGCGGCCAUCGCCGCCGGCGGGUGGUGCGGAACGACCGGGCCGGCCACGCUCAUCGUCCUCGUGCGCCGAUCGUGGAGCUAGUGUCGGUCGGAUCGGAGCUGCUAGCUAGCUGCGUUUGUGGCGUGAGUGGUUGAGAACACGGCGGCCGGAGGAGGAGAUCGAGUUCCAGCGACCCGCGAGAUCCGAUCGAGGAGAAAUGGUUUUGGUUUUGGUUUUGGGAGCUAGCACACCGCCGGCCGGGAGGGGGGAGAUGAGCAGUGUGGCGUGGCGU
rnacentral:lncRNA from 1 species